GGGCAUGUAGUGUAGUGGUUAUCGCGUCUCAUUUGCAUGUUUGCGAGUUGAGAAGGUCCCCAGUUCAAUUCUGGGUUUGUCCA